CCUCAGUAAAUGUUUAUUGGAUGAAUAAAUGAGUGACUCAUCAACAAACAUUUAUUGCGUGCC
ensembl:miRNA ocu-mir-545 ocu-mir-545